rnacentral:rRNA from 1 species
AUGCCGAGGUUGCGUCGCCUGCGGCCGCGCAGGGUCGUCCAAGACCAAGACGACCGCCUCAGCGCCCUCCCCGAAGAGCUGAUCCGCCUCAUACUGAGCAGGCUGGACACCCGCAGCGCGCUCUCCACCGCCGUCCUCGCCAGGCGCUGGGCACGCCUCCCUCGCGAUCUUCCGGCGUACGACUUGAGGGUGGGCGACAUACUCCCGCCACAGUACGACCAGACCGUCGCCCUCCGCCGGCGCAACCUGCCGCGCGACACGGCUCAGGCCAGAGUCCUAGACAGCUUGAUGGCCAGCUGCGAGGUCUCUACCAUGCGGGCGUUCGAGGAUGGCAUCACCGGCUUCUUGGAGGGGGACGCACGCCGUUGCGUCAACACCCUCCGUCUCGAGUUCUUCCACACACACGACGGCGGCCGCAUAGUAGACCGCCUGAUCGCAGACGCGGUCGGCGUAUGGGGAGUGCAAGAUUUGGAGGUGGUCGUCAGGCCAGCGUCCCAGGAGCACGAGCCUUGGCCGGCCUACAGCUUCCCCCACGAUCGCCUCAAGGAUGGACACUGGUCGCGCCUGCACAGCCUGACGAUCGGCAACUGCAUGCUCCCGCCGAGGCUGCACUGCUAUGACACGCUCACCAAGCUGGUCUUGCGAGACAUGCCCGCUUCCACGCCCGUCGGCGUGUACGAGAGGGCCCUGAGCGAGUGCAACCAGCUGCAGGUGCUGCAUCUCACGUCCUGCAGCUGCGUUGAGGACCGUCUGGUGGUGUGUUCACAGAUCAGGGAGCUCGUCGUGGAAGCGUGCUCCUUCAUGGUGAUCGAGCUGCAGGACCUCCCGAUGCUUGCCCACCUGGCCUGCCGAACCAACACCGUGGAGCUCGUGUUCGGCUCUGUUCCGUGCCUCACGCACACUAACCUCACCUUCUUUGUAGAGGAGGAUAUCCUGGUUUUGCCGCCGCUGCCGCACCACCAUGAUCAGCUCAACCACUUCCUUGGUAUGUCCCCAACCAUGGGCAACCUCGUCAUCCGCUUCACCGGACCCAAGAUGUGGAUUGGGGCCAACAAACUGUACGAGCCACUACUCCACCUCAAAAGGCUCCUUGUUGCCGACCUGCCUUCAAACUGGGACGUCUCAUGGACGCGCACUCUCCUGAUGGCCGCGCCAUCGCUCGAGGCACUGCACAUCAACGUGGCUCACUCCGAGCUCCCUGAAACCUACGGGAUAAUAUGGUCAAUCCGGAGCCAGAAGCAAUGCCACCCUCACAUGAAGGAGCUGGUCAUGAUUGGAUUCACGCUCACGCGGCUCCAAAUGGAGUUUCUCAAGUAUAUUGUGACCGCGUGCACUUCCUUACAACGCCUUGUUUUGCUCAAGGAUGGCCAUGUCCGAUACAACGGACUCUGGGAUUGGGACAUGGUUCGUGGACUAGAAGAAUGUAACUGGAGAGAUCAUGAUAAAAGGAGGCUGAGAAGGUUGAUCAAGUCCGGGCCCAACCCUCUCGUUGAACUCAUCUUGGGAUGA